rnacentral:snRNA from 1 species
AGCUUUGCGCAGUGGCAAUAUUGUAGUCAAUGAGGUGUACUCGAGGCGCGAUUAUUGCUAAUUGAAAACUUUUCCCAAGGGUUC